GUAACCACCACACCCGCCGCGCUUAAUGCGCCGCUACAGGGCGCGUCCAUUCGCCAUUCAGGCUGCGCAACUGUUGGGAAGGGCGAUCGGUGCGGGCCUCUUCGCUAUUACGCCAGCUGGCGAAAGGGGGAUGUGCUGCAAGGCGAUUAAGUUGGGUAACGCCAGGGUUUUCCCAGUCACGACGUUGUAAAACGACGGCCAGUGAAUUGUAAUACGACUCACUAUAGGGCGAAUUGGGCCCUCUAGAUGCAUGCUCGAGCGGCCGCCAGUGUGAUGGAUAUCUGCAGAAUUCGCCCUUAGAGUUUGAUCCUGGCUCAGACUCU
rnacentral:rRNA from 1 species